GUGCAUACUUUGGCAGCACAUAUACUAAAAUUGGAGCAAUACAGAGUUUAUCAUGGCCCUUACUCAAGGAUGACACACAAAUUCAUGAAAUGUUCCAUGUUUUU